AUAUUUAUAUAACAUUAAUAAUCGUAUUAUUGCAUCGCUGGGAGAAUGAAGUCGUCGAGGUACGACGUGACCCUAGUGUAAACGCCGGGAUAUCCAGCUGCGGCGCACUUAUGACCAUAAGACACAACACCUAUUUGAUAGAAGCAUCCUUUCCGCCCUGAGUGUAUCCGGCGCAUAAUACAGUAUCGGUAACAUGUGCAGCAGCAAAUCUGGCAUAAGAGUUCUUGCAUUCGGUGUUGCUAAUCACUGGCACUUGUACUUCCAUUAAAUCGUCACUACCUGGUCCAUCUAUAAAGAAAAUGAGAAAGAUAUUUAAGACAGGAACUAUUUCAUUUUAUUGGAGAAUUGAUAUCACUUACGAUGUGCUAGUGAUCCCCAUCCAGCAACGAAGGGGUAAUAGCGCUCGAAAUUGUUAUUUCGAAGGGAUUUCUCUAUGGGGAGACAAAUGGGAUAUAUGUACUCUGAAAAAUAAGAAAAUAAAUGAAAGUGAAGGAAACGAAUGACGAAAAGUAUGAGAAAGAAUUGUACAUGUUUUAUGGUACAGUAUACGUGUACAGUAAGAAAUUUCAGUAAUACCCAGUAGCAUAAAUAUUAGAAACUCAAUAAUAUUUGAAGACUUACCCGAAAAUGGAACAUCUUCCUUCAGUUUAAGAAUAGCAAUAUCAUUAUUGUUCGACUCGGAAGAAUAAUCGGGAUGUAUUAGUUUAGAGUCGACUUCUAUUUGAAUAGGAUGCGCUCCGUCGUCAUCUCGUUUUAGAUUUAAGUCCCCGAUACGAACCACGUACAAAUCAUCUAUUGCACAAUGUGCUGCGGUCAGAACAUGCCUAGCCGAUAUCAGGGAACCUCCGCAAUGCCAUUGCGGAUCCUUCCACGGGUGUGUGUAAUUAUGAAAGCCUAAUGCAACGAUCCAUGGCCAAGCACCUAAAACGCAAUACUUAUAGUUGCGAACAUACAUAAUUUCCUCUCGCGUAAAAACUAUUAUUAUCUAUUCGAUAUUCGAUCAUGUAGAAGACGAUAAGUACAUACCUACAAAUGCUCUCAAAUAGAGAUUUGAUAAAGAGAGAAAUUAAAUUUUAACUUUACUGGAAUAAAAAUUAUUAAACAAUUCUAUAUAAUUUCUACUUAAACUGUACUGAACUAUAAAGUUCAAACAUGUAAUAUCUCCCCAGCAGUUUUUGAUCUCUAUCCAUAUUAUUACUCCUAUAUCGAUUUUUAAUUCCAAAUAAAAAGAUACUCUUCCUAACAUGAGGUAAAAAAGGAAGUAAUUCAAGUUAAUAAGUAAAGUUACUACCGAUGAAGUCCUAGUAUUAUUAUUUAAUUUAAUUGAAACGUAUUUUGAUGUGCUAUUCAGUGUAUUUAAAGUUCAUACUUCGUAACAAAUCGCGUAUUACUAAUCGGAAAGGAAGAGAUAAAACGUACCAAGCUUCGCUGGUUUACCACCAACCACUCUGGUAUGCGUAGCGUUACUAAAACCACAGUAUGGUGGUCGCAAUGCCCUAUACUUAUACUUAGUUUCAAUAGAAAUCAAAAGUCCUCUCUUCUGUUUGUUUGGAUUGUUCGGACAACAAUAGAUCUGAUCAUUGUCAUUGGAUGGGCACAGUGAUUGUCUAAAAAAGUCGGCGGCUGCAUGGUCCUGUGUCUGUUGUAUUUCUUGCAGAG
rnacentral:misc_RNA from 1 species